GUGUGAGAGAAGCGGGAUCAUUGAAAACUGUGUUUUCGGGAUUUUAUUUUAUUUUAUUUUAUUUUUUGGCAAUACAGUGCAGCCGAUCUUUGAACAGUACGAAACUCACGCUACUAGACGUUUGUCUUCUUCAACGGUUGGAGUAUGGGCCAGCUGGCUUUCACCAGUUGUUAUUUCUUGACGGGAGGAAUGAAUAUCUGUGACCUUGUACUGGAGAUAUAUGUUUGCAUGUCUGGAUAUAUCCUUGGCAUGAUAUGAUGAUGAUGAUGAAGAUAUCUGUAAAAUACAGUAUAGAGCCAGGCUGCAUUCAAAAAUCGAUUAUCAGCAGAUGGGAG
rnacentral:sRNA from 1 species